UACAGAGGUGGCAAGCGUUGUUCGGAAUUACUGGGCGUAAAGGGCGCGUAGGCGGUCUUGUAAGUCCCGUGUGAAAGCCCCCGACACAAAUGGGGAACGGCACGGGAAACUGCGAGGCUUGAGUUCGGGAGAGGGAAGCGGAAUUCCGGGUGUAGCGGUGAAAUGCGUAGAUAUCCGGAGGAACACCAGUGGCGAAGGCGGCUUCCUGGGCCAAUACUGACGCUGAGGAGCGAAAGCUAGGGGAGCAAACGGG
rnacentral:rRNA from 1 species